UAAAUGUUUGAUUUUGGCUUAAAAUUUUAUGUUACUGCUAAAUUUGUAUGAAAAUAAUUGUGUGGAAUAAAAUUUUAUUUUAUAUAAAAUUUAUUAUAAGGAAAUUAUAAUUUUGAACUAUUUAUUCUCAGCAUGAAGUAUUAUAACUUAUAUGCAUGAAAAUGUGAGUUAGUAGUAGUAAUAAAAAUCUGAUAAAUAUUUGUGCCAGCAUUCGCGGUUAGACUUUAAGGUUAAGUAAAAUUUAUUAGUGUGUUAGUUAGAUGAAUAUUUUAGUAAGUUAUUGGUAAUAAGCAGUGAAAUUUGGUUGUUACUUUAUAUAGAUAAUAAAUAGAAAUUGAAGCUAAAAAAGUUUAAUUAUAAACUAGGAUUAGAUACCCUAUUAUUUAAAAGAGAAUUUGUACACUAGAUUAGUAGUAGAUAUAUACUUAAAAAUUAAAAAAUUUGGCGGUAAUUUAGUCUUUUCAGAGGAAUUUGUUUUUUAAUCGAUAAAACACGUAAUAUCUUACUUAUUUUAAUUAGUUUGUAUACCAUCAUUAUUAGUUAAUCUUUAAGGAUAGAAUUUACUAAAAUUGUUUUUAAUAAAUAAAUUAGAUCAUGGUGCAGUUUAUAGAUAAGGUAAAAUGAAUUACAAUAAAUUAAUUUAUAUGAAUUAAUAAAUUAAAUUUUAUUAUGAAGGAGGAUUUGAUUGUAUUAUAAGUUUAAUAAGCUUUAAAGAUAUAGGCUCUAAAUUAUGUACAUAUCGCCCGUCGCUUUCAUUAUAAUUGAAAUAAGUCGUAACAUAGUAGGUGUACUGGAAAGUGUACCUAGAAUUAC
rnacentral:ncRNA from 1 species